rnacentral:rRNA from 1 species
UACAGAGGGUGCAAGCGUUGUUCGGAAUUAUUGGGCGUAAAGGGCGCGUAGGCGGUGCGGUAAGUCUGUAGUGAAAUCUCCUGGGCUCAACUCAGAGUCUGCUGCAGAAACUGCCGUGCUUGAGUGUGGGAGAGGUGAGUGGAAUUCCCGGUGUAGCGGUGAAAAUGCGUAGAUAUCGGGAGGAACACCUGUGGCGAAAGCGGCUCACUGGACCACAACUGACGCUGAGGCGCGAAAGCUAGGGGAGCAA